rnacentral:rRNA from 1 species
GUCUACGGCCAUACCACCCUGAACGCGCCCGAUCUCGUCUGAUCUCGGAAGCUAAGCAGGGUCGGGCCUGGUUAGUACUUGGAUGGGAGAAACACACAACUACCACAACUGAGUCAGGAAGAAAUAAAAG